rnacentral:sRNA from 14 species
GCUGCGGCAAAAUCCGUAGCCGGAAUUAGCGUUCCGAAAAUCUUCUUGAUACCUAGCCUCGUCAUUCAGACAUGGUCUUUUAU